UACGAAGGGGGCUAGCGUUGCUCGGCAUCACUGGGCGUAAAGCGCACGUAGGCGGCUCUUUAAGUCAGGGGUGAAAUCCUGGAGCUCAACUCCAGAACUGCCUUUGAUACUGGGGAUCUCGAGUCCGGAAGAGGUGAGUGGAACUCCGAGUGUAGAGGUGAAAUUCGUAGAUAUUCGGAAGAACACCAGUGGCGAAGGCGGCUCACUGGUCCGGUACUGACGCUGAGGUGCGAAAGCGUGGGGAGCAAACAGG
rnacentral:rRNA from 1 species